UUCAGGACUCCCGGCAAAAUUCGCCGUUCAAGAUUAGCCGCCGAAGACCAAAAAUUGCAUUCACACUUGGUAUCACCCACAGAGAGAGAUGAGAGGCGAGUGGUUUUCGGGGAGUGUGAGACAUCGAGUGUUGGCGUUUCUCAUCCAAUCCGCUCAUCGACUUGAAGUUACUCCGAUUGUUAAAUACACUUCGUUAUCGCUCUUCGCUGACCGAUUCUACCCCCGUCUUCCCAGGUUAAUGCAGGUGAAGCACACAGGAAGUUGGCUAUUGCAACCCAUGAGAGAGAGCCAUUUGCAGCUGUUUGCCCUCAUUUCUAUAUGGAUCUCCAGCAAAAUACAUGAUUCUCGGCCACUUUCCAUGAAAAGUUUGAAAUCCUUGGGAGAUGGUAUUAUCAAUGAGCAACAUUUUACAACUCGAGAUUUUUUGGAAGCAGAAGUGGUCUUAAUGCAGGUACUGAAUUUUGAGAUUGGAGCGUCAAAUAUUGCUUUUGUGUUCCUUGAAGAGCUUCUUAUUCAGUUCAAGGGAAUAGCAAAAGUUGGGGAACUAGUAAACUUUGAAGCCUGCCUGGAUAUCAUGGAUCUUCUCUAUGAAAAGGAGGAGACAUCAGUUCUUUAUAGCUCUCCUUGUUCACUUGCUGCAUCUAUCUUGGUUGCUUCUUAUGUCAUCACUGUCCCUCGACAGAAGUGGGAGUUUCCUGUUCUGCCCUGGGUGAAGUUUGCUACCUCAUGCAAUGAAGAGGAUAUUAUAGAAAUUGUUGGGGGCAUUCUCAAGCACAUAUUUGGGCCUUCACUUUGCGUCUGAGGUAUGAGGUUUUCAUAUUUGGAGAGGCCAAAGUCAGUCUGGAUGUAUUCCAACUUCACUGGCAAGGAAUAAUGGAGGUUUUUAUCAGUUAAAGAAGUGCGAAGUAAUACACAAGUCUUGCUGGAAGGAGAAAGAGUCAUUCAGUACAAAGAUAUGAUUUGGAGUGACACAGCGAUGGAGUAAAUCAGCAAGAUUACACUGUUUUUGGAGGCAGCCAGGGUCGUCUACAAAUAUCAAAUUCGCAGCAGAGUACAAUUCCAGAUGGACAAUCUGAGUGUGAUCUGGUACAACCACGGCGCACCAAUCUCCAUGCCCCCUCACCCUGACCUUUUCCCAGGUAGGACCCGUCCAGCUCAGAAAAAUCUUAAUUUUCGUGCGGAUAAAGUGUUUUAUUUUUAUUUAUUUAUUUUCUUUUUUCAUUUUUUAAUGCAAUAGAAGGCAUUGAUUACGAGUCUUCAUAAAAGGGCUAAGCUCUUUUUCUUCGAUACGCUCAUGUGAAAAACUUUUACCUUAACUUUUUUUAUUAAAAAAAAAGAAAAGAAAAAGCUUUUACAUUUAAGCAUCGGGUGCUCCAUUCGUGCAUUCCAUGCCUUUUGGGUCGUUCGAUCGUUUUUGGAAAAUUUCGUCUGAGUCAAUCCGGUCAAAAAAAGCAAACCAGCAAUUCCACUGUUUCCACUCAGUAAUUACCUCACGAGUCACGUGUGAACAAUGGGGUGACUGUUUUUGACUUGCAUGUGAAGCAACCUUACUUAAAAUAAAUAGCAUAGCUCAUGGUUGAAUUUUUUGCUUUGAACUUUUCGAUUGGGUCAUUCUAGGGGAGC